CGAGCCGACCGGACGGCCGCGGCGCCGCCCUCGCGGGCGGUGUCGAGGAAAGUCCGGACUCCACAGGGCAGGGUGGUUGCCAACAGCAACCCGGGGCGACCCGCGGGACAGUGCCACAGAGAACAAACCGCCGGUGCCGACCGCUCCUUCGGGGGCGGCGGGUGCCGGUAAGGGUGAAACGGCGGUGUAAGAGACCACCAGCGCUCCGGGUGACCGGAGCGGCUCGGUAAACCCCACCCGGAGCAAGGUCAAGACAGGACGUGACGGCGCGAGCCGCCGCGUCCGGCGCAG
rnacentral:RNase_P_RNA from 1 species